rnacentral:rRNA from 1 species
UACAGAGGUCUCAAGCGUUGUUCGGAUUCAUUGGGCGUAAAGGGUGUGUAGGUGGCGCCGUAAGUCGGGUGUGAAAUUCGGAGCUUAACUCCGAAACUGCAUUCGAUACUGCGGUGCUUGAGGACUGGAGAGGAGACUGGAAUUCAUGGUGUAGCAGUGAAAUGCGUAGAGAUCAUGAGGAAGACCAGUGGCGAAGGCGGGUCUCUGGACAGUUCCUGACACUGAGACACGAAGGCCAGGGGAGCAAACGGG